rnacentral:rRNA from 1 species
UAAGGAAUAUUGGACAAUGGUCGCAAGACUGAUCCAGCCAUGCCGCGUGCAGGAAGACGGCCCUAUGGGUUGUAAACUGCUUUUGUACCAGAGAAAACCUAUCUACGUGUAGAUAGCUGAUAGUAUGGUAAGAAUAAGCAUCGGCUAACUUCGUGCCAGCAGCCGCGGUAAGACGAAGGAUGCAAGCGUUAUCCGGAUUCAUUGGGUUUAAGGGUGCGUAGGCGGGCUUGUAAGUCAGUGGUGAAAUCUCUCAGCUUAACUGAGAAACUGCCAUUGAUACUGCAGGCCUAGAGUAUAGAUGACGUUGGCGGAAUAUGACAUGUAGUGGUGAAAUACUUAGAUAUGUCAUAGAACACCGAUUGCGAAGGCAGCUAACGAAACUAUAACUGACGCUGAGGCACGAAAGUGCGGGGAUCAAACA